rnacentral:rRNA from 1 species
UUUUAAAUCUGGCGCAAGCCCGAGUUGUAAUUUGUAGAGGAUGCUUCUGGGUAGCGGCCGGUCUAAGUUCCUUGGAACAGGACGUCAUAGAGGGUGAGAAUCCCGUAUGUGACUGGCUUGCACCCUCCACGUAGCUCCUUCGACGAGUCGAGUUGUUUGGGAAUGCAGCUCUAAAUGGGAGGUAAAUUUCUUCUAAAGCUAAAUACCGGCCAGAGACCGAUAGCGCACAAGUAGAGUGAUCGAAAGAUGAAAAGCACUUUGGAAAGAGAGUUAAAAAGCACGUGAAAUUGUUGAAAGGGAAGCGCCCGCAACCAGACUUUGCGGCAGUGUUCGGCCGGUCUUCUGACCGGUUUACUCGCUGUCGUGAGGCCAUCAUCGUCUGGGACCGCUGGAUAAGACCUUAGGAAUGUGGCUCCCCUCGGGGAGUGUUAUAGCCUCUGGUGAUGCAGCGCGUCUCGGGCGAGGUCCGCGCUUCGGCAAGGAUGAUGGCGUAAUGGUUGUCGGCGGCCCGUCUUGAAACACGGACCAAGGAGUCUAACAUCUAUGCGAGUGUUCGGGUGUCAAACCCCUACGCGUAAUGAAAGUGAACGGAGGUGGGAACUUUUUGUGCACCAUCGACCGAUCCUGAUGUCCUCGGAUGGAUUUGAGUAAGAGCAUAGCUGUUGGGACCCGAAAGAUGGUGAACUAUGCCUGAAUAGGGUGAAGCCAGAGGAAACUCUGGUGGAGGCUCGCAGCGGUUCUGACGUGCAAAUCGAUCGUCAAAUUUGGGUAUAGGGGCGAAAGACUAAUCGAACCAUCUAGUAGCUGGUUCCUGCCGAAGUUUCCCUCAGAUAGCAGUAACGUUUUCAGUUUUAUGAGG